UUCACUGCUGCCUUUUCAUUCGCGUUAAUUCACUGCGUUUCCUUUCUUGCUCCUUGCGAGGAACAGAGGGAGAGCUUGUUCCAGCAGACGGGCCCCAUCCGCUCCACCCGGCUCUGCUGGAGCAAGGGCUGGAAAAGAGGGAUGGAGGCGAAGGGGUAUCUCCCACCCCUCCGGGGCCCCUGCGUGCUGCCUGCGUGCUGCUUCCCAGCAAAUACGAUGGAGAAUAAAAGCAAAGUCUUCGCCACGGCGGUGUGCUUACCACUUCCACCACAGGCUGCGCCCGCCCGGAGGACAAGGAGCUGCGUGCAGGUCUGCUCCUUAGCAGCGGAGCGCGGUGUUGCCGUAGCACCAACAGUGUUCUGAAUUCAGGUGCAGACUGUUCUGCGCCGGGCGCCGUGGAAGCCUACAAAUAAAUACGGUCGCUGCGCUGGAGCUUGCAGCACCGGCUGACCGGGAUUGACUGGGUGUGGAUCCAACCCAAAGCUCUUCCCCAGGCGGGGAAGGCAGCCCUGCGAGCCCUGCAUCCCGCCGUCCCGGGGCUCGGCAGCGGGGGCUGCGGGCUGACAGCUGACGUCCUCCCCGGGGCCCGUUUCCUCCGGCUGCUGCCAAACCCUUCGCCGAGCGCGUCUCGAAAUGAAUUUUCUGGAAAACAAAUUAAAGGAGGGUUUGCGUCGCGCAGCAGACAGCCCGACCCGCGCUGACGAAUCCUGCCUGUGUUUCGGGCUGCGCCGCACGCACCACGUUGCUCAAAGCUGCUGCCGCUGCUGCUGCGCUGGAGUUUGCGGCUCGUCACCUAAAUAUACUGCAACGGAGCCUGAGCACUUCUUCCCCCGGGUCCGGCAUCGCCCCUCCGUUCGGAGGGUGCUCCUGCGGCUCUCAGAGCCGAAGCCCCUCACGUCAGCAGCAUCGCCUCAAAAGCUGAACGUGCCUGUGAAAGCGAUCAGAGAUGCUCUUUGAAGAGCCCGCAGAAUUUUUCAUUGCAGAUUCCCAGCUGCAUUUUCCUGCUAACCUUGCAUUCCUGAGGAUGCAAAGUGAGACGGGAACGUAUGUACGGCGAACGUGUUACCCAUCGCACCGGCUACUCCCAUAGCCAGGAAAAUAUUUCCUGCAAGUUUCCUCCCUG